rnacentral:tRNA from 1 species
UAGCUCAGUGGCACUGCAUCUGCCUAGAAAGCACAAGGUCAUGAGUUCAAUUCUCAU